rnacentral:rRNA from 1 species
GAUGAACGCUGGCGGCGUGCUUAACACAUGCAAGUCGAACGGUGAAGCCAAGCUUGCUUGGUGGAUCAGUGGCGAACGGGUGAGUAACACGUGAGCAACCUGCCCUGGACUCUGGGAUAAGCGCUGGAAACGGCGUCUAAUACUGGAUAUGAGCCUCUUCCGCAUGGUGGGGGUUGGAAAGAUUUUUUGAUCUGGGAUGGGCUCGCGGCCUAUCAGCUUGUUGGUGAGGUAAUGGCUCACCAAGGCGUCGACGGGUAGCCGGCCUGAGAGGGUGACCGGCCACACUGGGACUGAGACACGGCCCAGACUCCUACGGGAGGCAGCAGUGGGGAAUAUUGCACAAUGGGCGAAAGCCUGAUGCAGCAACGCCGCGUGAGGGAUGACGGCCUUCGGGUUGUAAACCUCUUUUAGCAGGGAAGAAGCGAAAGUGACGGUACCUGCAGAAAAAGCGCCGGCUAACUACGUG